rnacentral:rRNA from 1 species
UACGUAGGGUGCAAGCGUUGUCCGGAAUUAUUGGGCGUAAAGAGCUCGUAGGCGGUCUGUUGCGUCGGCUGUGAAAACCCGGGGCUCAACCCCGGGCCUGCAGCCGAUACGGGCAGACUAGAGUUCGGCAGGGGAGACUGGAAUUCCUGGUGUAGCGGUGAAAUGCGUAGAUAUCGAGAGGAACACCUGCGGCGAAGGCGGGUUGCUGGGCCGACACUGACGCUGAGGCGCGAAAGCCAGGGGAGCGAACGGG